rnacentral:piRNA from 1 species
CGCCUAAACCCGUACAUAAUA